AUUGAACGCUGGCGGCAGGCCUAACACAUGCAAGUCGAGCGAGCGGCGGACGGGUGAGUAAUGUAUGGGGACUGCCCGAUAGAGGGGGAUAACUACUGGAAACGGUAGCUAAUACCGCAUACUAUCGGAUAACCCAUAUGGGAUUAGCUAGUAGGUGAGGUAAUGGCUAACCAAGGCCACGAUCCCUAGCUGGUCUGAGAGGAUGAUCAGCCACACUGGGACUGAGAGACGGCCCAGACUCCUACGGAGGCAGCAGUUGGGAAUAUUGGACAAUGGACGCAAGCCUGAUGCAGCCAUGCCGCGUGUAUGAAGAAGGCACUAGGGUUGUAAAGUACUUUCAGUAGGGAGGCGUUACCGACAGAGGAAGCACCGGCUAACUCCGUGCCAGCAGCCGCGGUAAUUC
rnacentral:rRNA from 1 species